UCCAACUUUACAACCGAAGGUCGGAAUGAUGAAACCAUGUUUUUCCGAAACGACCUCAUCAAGACUCCUGCGUGCGUCAUGAAAGACAGUUCAUGGGGUUCGAAGCACAGGUAGAGUCGGCAGAAGGAAAGCUAGAGCCAUUCCAUGGGAAAAGGUAUGCUAACUGAUAUGCCGGAUGGCUGAAAA
rfam:Jeotgalibacillus campisalis strain SF-57 contig00024, whole genome shotgun sequence.